AUUGAACGCUGGCGGCAUGCCUUACACAUGCAAGUCGAACGGUAACGGGCCUUCGGGUGCCGACGAGUGGCGAACGGGUGAGUAAUGUAUCGGAACGUACCUUUCAGUGGGGGAUAACGUAGCGAAAGUUACGCUAAUACCGCAUAUUCUGUGAGCAGGAAAGCAGGGGAUCGCAAGACCUUGCGCUGAUUGAGCGGCCGAUAUCAGAUUAGCUCGUUGGUGAGGUAAAGGCUCACCAAGGCGACGAUCUGUAGCGGGUCUGAGAGGAUGAUUCGCCACACGCGAACGGAGACACGGGCCAGACUCCUACGGGAGGCAGCAGUGGGGAAUUUUGGACAAUGGGCGCAAGCCUGAGCCAGCCAUGCCGCGUGAGUGAAGAAGGCCUCCGGGUUGUAAAGCUCUUUCGGCCGGGAAGAAAUCGCACAGGCUAAUACCUUGUGUGGAUGACGGUACCGGAAUAAGAAGCACCGGCUAACUACGUGCCAGCCGCCGCGGUAAAAC
rnacentral:rRNA from 1 species